CUCAGUGUCCCCAGCGGGUCCCAGCGGCCGUGGCGGGGACACGGGGACACGGCGGCAGGAUCUGGACAUGGCCAGGGAAGCCAAGCCGAGCCGGGCCAGGCUGGGCCAGAAGAGGCAGCACAGCAGCAGCCUGUACCACAGUAACUGUGACCUGGACUACGAUCUCUACAGGGACGACUUCCCGUACCGGGUGUACGAGUACCAGAAGAUCCCACCCCUCAUUAACCGCAUCCCCGUCAAGGCCAGGAGAACUCACGCAGGAGCAGGAGGCAAAAGCAGCCCGAGCCCCCAGCCCGGGGCACGGAGCAGCAGCAGCAGCAGCUCCACGGGGACACGGACAAAACUGCGAGCCGAGGAGCUGCACUCCAUCAAGGGGGAGCUGAGCCAGAUCAAGGCGCAGGUGGACAGCCUGCUGGAGAGCCUGGACCGCAUGGACCAGCGGAGAGAGCGGCUCUCGGGGUGCAAGGAGAGUGAGAAGAAGAGGGCGGAGGUGGGCGCAGCGUCGCCGUCCCCGGUGGGAGAGGGCUCCCGGGGCAAGGAGGGGACAGGAGGGGACGGGCGCAGUGACCUGCGCACCAUCGACAGCGCGGAGGAGAGCACGGACACAGAGGAGACGAUGAAAACGCACAUCUCGGACCCCGAGGGGAGCCACUAGACGGACUGGGUAUGCUGGAGCCUUCCCGGUGUGCCAGCAGCUCCUGUCUUGUGUCCGUCUUUCUUUCGAGGCUUCCAGCUCGUGCCACGCUGGUGCCAGGUGCCCGCUCCCAGCACUCACGUCCCCUGCCAUGGUGCCAGCAGCCCCGUGUCCCACCCUGGCCAGCCACGGUGAGAGAAGUCUGUGUUUGAGUGCGCUUUGGGUUUGUUUUUGGUUUUUUUGUUCCUCCUGUUUUCCAGCUAGGGAUAAGUACACAGGGAAGGGAGGGUUGGAGGGCAGAAGGCCCACAUCCCGAAGGAGCAGCAGCCUGGAGCAGAAAUCCACGGUGUCCUCCUUCCUUGGAUAAAGUGUCCCAUACACACCGGUCACAUCCCGAGCCCUUGCCCCCCAGGCGUGCCCCCAGCUGCCUGCACACUCGAGGGUGGGCUCGUGCUGCUGGAGGUGACCGCCCUAAAGAGGAACCAGAGGGGCUCUCAGCACAGCACAAAGCCACAGCCCCGUGCCACCAGCGCCAUGGCACAGGGCCCGGCGGCUCCCAGUCGCCCGUGCUCACAACUGGGUUUUCCUUACUGGUUCCCCAAGGACUCCCACCGCGCUCCUGUCGGCAGGACGGAGCCUCUGCCCCGGGAAGUCGCGCCCCCAGCCCCACUCCCCCCGUCCCGCAGAGCUGUGCCACGUGUCCGUGUCCCUCGUUUCUAGGUCGUCCUUCUCGCUGGUAGGAAGUUGUUCUGUAUCUCUAAUUUGCUCCGGUAAAAGAGUGUAUUGUGUUGGAAAGGAAAAAAAAAAUAAAAUUUGUAUUUCUUUUCUCUGGUUAUUUGAC
rnacentral:lncRNA from 1 species